rnacentral:tRNA from 1 species
UGCGGGGUGGAGCAGUCGGUAGCUCGAUGGGUUCAUAUCUCAUAGGUCGGUGGUUCGAUUCCAUCCCCCGCUACUA